ensembl:lncRNA
GUUGGAAAGAUUAGCGUGGUGUAAGGGCAAUAUAGGAGUGUAACAGCAAAGGGACAACUGCAGAUGGAAUGGUGUUACAAAGGAAAAGCACUCACCCAUCUCUGAAGAUCCAGCCUUACAAAAGGAACUUCCUAAGGGAGAAAUCUCCAACCAGAGACCCUUCCCCAGUGGGGGUCAGCCCUUACAUGAGGUCUAAGAGAGGUGCAGCCAGGCUCCACCCCUCCCAGUCCCACAGCUCAAUUGCCCUCACCUGUGCUCCCAGGGCUGACCGGGUCCUUUUCCCAGGUGCUCAAUCAGUGCUUCAGGCCGUGACUCAGCAGUUACCAUACAGUCUGUUAUUAUGGAGAAAUUCAUCAUUACACUAUUCCAUCGCACGAUGCCUUUCUGCCAUUUGAUUGUGCUGCUUGCUUAAGGGCUCCUUAUUCGAGAUGCAAAGCUCACAGCAGAAAGCCUUCACUGGCACUGGGGAUCUGGAUCAGACCCAGAGAGCAGAAGAUAAUAUUAGUUCCUAACUUUCCUAUCUGAGCGUGACGUGCCCCCAGGCCUGCUGCUUGUCUUAGCAGAAGCAUUAUCUCCUGUUUAGGCAUGACAAUAUUUGUCAAGUGUGAUGCUCAUUAGUCUGCCGCGUGGUCAGGCUCGCAGUGUAUUAACACUCCAAAAGAUCAGGUGGGGACUAAAGGUCCGCUCUUUGUAGUCAAUUAUAGCCAUCACCGUUAAUGAUGCCACCACGGAGAGCCGUGCAGGAGGAGAAGUGCUUCUCGGAGGUGAGGCUUGACAGCAUACCUGGGCUGCGAGGAGCUGGGAUGAAAACGCGGUGUGCACCUCCAGCCUCCAUCUCACCCACUCGGUGAUUCAUUUCAAGAACAGUCUAGUGGCUUUAAAAAAAAAAAAACACUGAACAAAAGACAAGCUUUCUAACCUCAAGUGCAUUCUCAUGUAUUCUUCAGAACCCGCACUGUUGAUGAUACUUCAACCUGGUAUUUAAUCAAAAAGAGAAAAAGCAGCACAGGGGCUGAAAGUUUCCCAUCUCUGCCUUUGGCGGUACGUUUUCCCAGCAAAGCCUGAGAUUUCCCAGCAAAGCCAAGCUUUUUAAUGGCUUUUGCUUGGAGAUGGUGCUUGUCCCACUCACUGCUGGGCAGAACAGUCAGCUUUUCCCCCUUGGAGAAUAUCAUCAUCAUUAUAAUUAUUUAAGAAUCAUUUUCAAAGUGCAGCUUUACGUUUCCAAAUCUCUUCCAGGAAGAAAAGGGUAAAAAAAAAAAAAAAAAAGUUAGAAAAAUAACUCGAAUUCUUAGAAAAGCAGGAAGACGUGGGGUUACUCAAAAGCUGGUUCUCAAGGUGAAGGAAAUCCCAUACUGACCAUAUGAGAGUCACCCCACGUGGCAGCAUCCCACGUACUGCCGAGGGAGGAGAGGAGGGGCAGCCUCAGUGCUCCGUCCCAUCGAAGGGCAAACUCCAGGAAAAGCCUCAACAUGAAAGAAAGCAGGAAUAGCACUGAAAUCCUGGCGCAGUUCCCCAUCCUGCUGGACUGCUAUAAAUACAACCGAGCGUGAGACAGCAGGAGCGGGUCCUGAAACCCCACUGAAACUUGGUGCGUGUAUCACUGUCCCUAUAAAUGCCAUCCACGCAGAGCCAGGUAAGCACAGAUACUCCCAGUUAAAAACUAAACCCCAAAAAGCAUUUUCCAGCUCUUCCCUAAACAGGGAGUUUCUUAAGCACGUGCUUAAUUUUAAGCAGAACCAUGAAGAACAUGUAUUUCAUUUUAGGAGCUGAUUUACUGCUUUGCUAAGGAAGAAUGCUUUGAUCAGAGUCAUCAUUUGCUUAGCCCGUGGCCAUUGAUUUCAAUUUAAUUGGCAUCCAUCAUCUUUGCAAAUGCAGCAGAAUAGAGCACUAAUAUUAUAGUCCAUGACAUAUUCCAUUCCUUUAAUUGCGUUUGCUGGCCAAAACAGGACCCUACAUGUAAGGUUAUUUAUGCACUUGUCCACAGAGCGGACUGCACAGCAAACAGCAGCAUUCAGUAUUUGAUGCAUUCCCUAAAAAACAGCCACGUUCUCUCUCAGAGAGGUGCAGCUCAGUCAGUAAUUCAAACUCUCAGCAUCCAUGAAAUCCUGCAAUCCAUUUACGCCUGCUUUGUAGAGGUGAUGUUUGCGUGGUGGUCUAAAGCCUUUUCUUUUUCUCUUUUCCUUUCCAGCAUGUGCUCUUGUACUUACCAGGGCACUUACAGUAUUAUUUAGGUUGCUGCCUGCCAUAUUUUCAUGCUACUAGAAGACAGUUUCUUCGACAUUUUCAUAAUGUUUUGAAAUGCUGAUGAGGAUUUAGCAUUAAAAUUAAUGGCAGCCAGCCGUGGUCUUUCAGAUGUGAAAGACUGCACAGUAUUUUCUGAGGAAAAAAGAGAGGGGGGAGAAGAAUGGAGAUAUAAAUAGCCAGUCUUGC